ACACAUCAGAGAACCAACUGGCUUAGCUAACAGGAUCUGAAUUUUAUUAAACCUGCCCGUUCUGUACUUAAACAGGCGGUUUAAAGUAAUUACAGUGUGUGUUCAUGUAAUUGAGUUUACUUUUAAUGUGGGAAGGCCAUUUAUUACCAUAGGACCGAAAAAUUAUUAAUGGAUGACUGGUCAGGUUCUGGUACAUUGGGUUCCCCUGAAGAUGGUUUCUGUGUCCAAGAAGACAGCAGGGUUCCUGAUUGUCUGUGUGGAUCUGUUCACACGGCGAUAUAAAUCCCACAGCUAAUUCUUCAGACGUGCACGGAAAUCCCCAGGAAAAUAUAAACAGCCGGAGCAGCAGAUUUCAGAGCUGAUUUCCGUGUCAUGCUUUAAUGCUCCUGAGUACUUCUGUAAAAACUAUUAAUUAGACUUUUAAAAGCCAGGAGCCUCUCUGACAUGGGCAGGCAGACAGGCAGCUCCCGACGUUGGUGAUCUGGAAACUCAGACCUCAAGCUGACCAGGUCCUACACUGCUCUACACUGCCGACCAGGUCCUACACUGCGCUACACUGCCGACCAGGUCCUACACUGCCCUACACUGCCGACCAGGUCCUACACUGCCCUACACUGCCGACCAGGUCCUGCACUGCCCUACACUGCCGACCAGGUCCUGCACUGCCCUACACUGCCGACCAGGUCCUACACUGCUCUACACUGCCGACCAGGUCCUAUACUGCUCUACACUGCCGACCAGGUCCUACACUGCUCUUGGCUAGAGAGGUUAUUUCAGCUGCACCCACCCCUGUCCUGGGGUCUGUUAAUAUGUUAAUAUAUGUAACCGAAGGAUGUCCCUGGCCUCCAUUGGUUUCAAUUUCAAACAAACCAAUGAAUGCAGACUGUGCUCCGCCUCUCUGGCAUGGCUGUGCUUGUUGGAUUUUGCACCUUCGGGAGAUAAUUCUGAGCUGCAGGUGAGGAGAAGCUCCCUCGUCUGUCAUGAGCAGCAAUACGAUCCCUCGGGGGUGACAAGUAAGGGAUCAUGUGAUCACACGAGUGCCAGCUCUGAGUCACUGUUCUCUCUCUCCCCUAUUGGCCUUCUGCUUGCAAGUGAUUUGUUUGCUUGUCCUCCCGGUGAAUUGGGCCUAGUUUGCAUGUCGAUGACACUUCCGGGGUGGGUGGAGUUGUCCAGGAGAGGAGUGGAAGGGCAGUGUUCUUUGAGGAAUAAGCAUCCCUGCAAGUCACAGAGCGCAGCUGGCUCUCACCUGAGUGAAGGAAGGGGAGGGGCAAGGGGAGGAGAUUCUACCUGCGGUUGCCAUGCUUGUGGCCAGGGGGAGGAGCCGGUAGGUCUAGGCAGAGGAGGAGGAAGCUGGCAGGAUGGGGUCAAAUUUCAGUGCAGAGCUUGCCUGUUUGUAAUCUAAGCCCUUUCACAGUCUGCUCCCGGGAGGAUCCAUGAUGCCAGCAGCUCGAGGUCUUUUGUGGGAUUUCCCUCGGUGUGGAACAGAGCCCCACCGGGGCAGUGGCGGGAUGAGUCACCGUUUACCGCGACACGCGACCUACCUGUCAGCCUAAGGAAGAGAUAAGAGGUUCCUCGGGCUCCAGGUAUUUGCAUGUGCUCACCGCUAUUACCUCGCUUCUGGGUAAACAUAGAAGGCAAACACACGCCGAUUACGGGGAAGUCACCGCCGGAGGAGGGAGAGGCAGCUGGGCGUGGAGGCACGCCGUGGAGCUCCGUCAUGACACUCCAAGUCCAGCUCCGGAUUCCAGGUUGACGCACGGUGCAGGCUGAAUGGUCACCCGGGCUCCACUGAAACUUCAUCCCUCUGGAUCUCACAGCAGGCAGUCACAGCGGCGCGGACUGGGGUGGUGCGACUUUACGUGGAGUCUGUGCUGUAUGUCGUGCUGUUUCUGGGAGUGCCUGUCCUCGCUGUCACCCGUGGGUCAGUUGAAUCUGGCAUCCACGACCGAUUUACAGACGAACUCUGGCGUCAGAGCUCCUCCCGGACUGAAGUGUACUAGACAAAAACCGUGUUUUGCUCAGUGGAGCAUGUAGAGUUGGAGUUCGAUUCCUGAACUGAAUUCUGGGCUGGACUUUGGAUUUAUUUACGCGAAGGUAGUUCUCCGAAGCAGAAUGAGGAGGGAAAGGAGCUCCGAAUCCUUCCUGAAGGAGCGACCGACCUCCCUGACUCGGGCCCUGAGCUGGCUGAACAUCUCGGUGCUGUCCCGCGCUUCAUGGCGCCUCUUCCGCAGCCAGACCGAACUAGCUGCCGAGCGGAAGGACGAGCCGGAGGUGGAUGAUGAUGAUUGGGUCUACAGACCAAUGCACCGCAAAGGUAAGGCCCAAACACAAUGAAGCGGUGUUGGGCAAACCUGGAGAAGAAUGGAAUCUGGGUGUAAUCCCUGGUCCUACUCAACACAGCUCAGCUCAGCUUCCCCGUAUCUCAGGAUCCUGGCUUCUGUUUUCAUGCAGGCUAGCAGAACUGUACUGUUUCGGAUCUCUCCUACAGGCCUGGUUCCGCCUUUAGGAGGUGCUACGCUUUUUAACAGGCCUGACAUUUCUGUGAUAUUUGGGAAAGAUGGGUGUCACUUCCGCUUAAGCUUGAUGUUUGAGGAGUAAGACCAUGAACACGAUUGUCUUCUGCAAGACGAUAGUGGAGUUGGCUGCUCUGGUAGUCCAAAAAACUUCCUCUGUAGCCUUUCUAAAAUAAAAAUUGCAGUUUAAACAAAGACUCAAAGGGCCAGGAAGCAAUUAGUUUCCAAGUGCAAAGAGUAGCAGGCCACACACGUUUAUUGGUGUUGGCUGAUUGUCUCUUGCACCUUCCCCUUACUAUGUUGUGCGAAUUGUCCUGUGUGAAUCGACACAUUGUUCUGGGAUACAAGUGGGAUGCUGCCUGGGGGGUGAAGGCGAACGGGUGGAAGCCUUCGUCAGCCUGGCGGUGGUUUGGCGUUUAAGGGUAAUAGCUUGACAAAUUGAGAAUUCCUUUGUUGUUGACAGCUGCAGAGCCUACAGUCCAGCCAUGGGGAACAGUGCGCUCGUGAAUAUGUUCUGGGACAGACUGUGUGGGUGACAAAAAAAUAAUCAAGAGAAAAGUUGGAAUAAUUCGAGUUGUGGUGUCCCUGCGAUCCAGAGUGUUUCCCAGCCUUUUUUCUACCACAUCGAUUUUCCAGGCCACACCAUUGAUUAACACAUACAGAUAAUUGGAUCUUAUCUAAACUGUGAAGCUUCAGGUUCAGGAUCAAGUAUGUUUUCUGCAAUUUCCCAUUUCAAGAAUUUGUCCAUGAUCUUGUGUUUUUACUACAGGAUAGUUUGCGAAUUGUCAGACAUAUGUAAGCUAACAGGUGCCAGUGGUUGAGUGGUCUUACUCUGGGCUCCAUUUGAUUACAUGAGAAGUGCACUUAGCUAAA